AUGUGGGCUGUUGGAGAAGGCUGUAUAUUACCUUCUAUACCUUCUGUGUAUUACCUUCUCCUAAGGCUGAUAAUAGAGGGUUUUUUUGGUGGCAACAUUUUCCCUGUGUUGUGUGACAGCAACCCAGCACUGGCAUACUUUGGCAGUGUAGCAGCUGAGAUGCAAGCAUGGAACUCCACAAAGGCACCAGGUUUGGUGGUCUCCAGGGCUUCCAGGAAGGAAGGCAAACCCCAUCACCAUACAGCUGGACAGGGGAAAGGAAGAAGAGAAGUCUUCAGUAAGUCCACUUCCACGGCUGGGCCUGUGAAGAGAAGAUUGGAGGGAUUGAGCAGUCUCCCUGUAGAAGCAGGAUAA
rnacentral:lncRNA from 1 species